AUGGGCACUCGGAAGGGGAGCAGGCAAGUCUCGUCCGGUGGGCGGUGUCGGUGCUGUGUUGUUCGCCGCCACUCAAAUCCGCCGCCACUCAAAUCAAAGCUCGGCGGAACCGCCAGAGUUGGGAGGCGCACAGGGUCGCGCGGUGACGUUGCGUGCAUCGGCAAGUGACGAGGCAGUUCUUCGAUCAAAAUAUCCCCGAGAUGCAAGCGCAAGCGAUUGUCCCCGGCGAUCUCAGAUUUUUUUCGCCCAUAUACUGAUGCAAGUGAUCCUCUACUACCCAGGAGUGUUUGCCGAUUUGCGGGAGGGCGACAGUGAGGACUGCAUGGACAAGCAGUGGCAAGUGGGACAGGCAUGAGGACCUAUUCACCGCUCUAAGAGGGACAUCGAAGGAACUAGAAGUGGAGGGCACAGUGACACCAUGUUCGUUCGUCUUCAUGAGUGCACAACAAUGGUUGUCAGUUGAAGGGGUGAAGCUCUCAUCUGGAAAGAGAUUUGGGAUGAAGAAGACCAGCGGAUGCUGGGGAAAGAACGAAGGUGUCAGUUCGGUGAGGGGGGAAGGGCAAUGUGGAGCAUGGGGGAGGGGAAGAGCUCACGUGUUUCCCCCCUGCACGUGAUCGGGAGCACGGACCAGGAGAGUUUCCUUUUGUGGUCGGGAGACUAAAGGGGGACAAUUUUUAAACUAAAAUGGAAAGUGUGCCACGGGACGCUAGGGAGCACAUGUUUGCUCCCUAGUCACGUCCCUUUUCUAAUAAGACGUGAUUAUGGUGGGGCCCUGACCCAUGUCUGCAUGUUAUGUUGACCGUCGAGACGGAGGGACCUUGCAGCCACGUGGGCUAACGGAUGGGGUGGACCUGUGAUGUCAGAGCCAGGCCAGACCAUCAUCACUAAGCCGAGCAUGGAAAUACUUCAUGGCUAAGGAAUGACCGCACGGCAAAGAUUUUCGACGUCUGGAUUGGCAUGGAAACGACGAGGUGCUUGGCGGAAACCGAGGUGGGAAUGAAGCUCCUCGGAUGCAAUCCAGCAAUCAAGAUAUUGAUACGUGAGGAUUCGCUGAAUCAAUUUUCAAGACCGACGACCUAAAACAAAGAUCUGCUCAGAAGAACCGAGGUGCGUCUAACUUGAAGACCGGUUCAGGGGCUACUGAUGAUGUCCUAGCUAGGCGGUCUCUCAUCAAGUCGUCUUUCCUGGCUAGAUGGGUCGGGCCAAGGACCCCCAUAUCGGUUCACCAAUGGGCCACGCCGAGUGGCCCAUGGCAUAUGAAAGGAAAGCUCCUGAAAACUUGACAUAUAUUCUUAAGAUAUUGAAACUCGUCUACAACACGUUCUCCUUAUACAUACCCGACUAGGAUGUAGCCCUAGACCCCCCCUCCCCCCAGGUGCCUAUGUAAACCGAGGGAAUGGGCUCGUAGAGGAGACACAACGAUCUUGAGGUAGAUUGUAUGUACUUUGUACUACACCAAAAAGUAAUAAAACACAAGAGGACGUAGGGUUUUAUCUUUCAGAAGAGCCCAAACCUGGGUAAAGACCCAUGCCCAUGUUACCAUCGUGUCAAGACACUUAAUUUGGGAUAGUAGCCACCAAAGAAAAAAAUGACGGACCACCUCCUCAUCCG